CGAAGAGCGUAGGGUGGAUGCCUAGGCACCAGGAGCCGAAGAAGGACGCGGCAACCUGCGAUAAGCCAUGGUGAGCCGGAAGCAGGCAGUGACCCAUGGAUAUCCGAAUGGGGGAACCCGCCUGAGUUAAUAAUCAGGCAUCCAUAACUGAAUUCAUAGGUUAUGGAAGGCAUACCCGGGGAACUGAAACAUCUAAGUACCCGGAGGAAAAGAAAGAAAUAUCGAUUUCCUCAGUAGCGGCGAGCGAACGGGAAAGAGCCCAAACCGGUAAGGUUUAUGCUUUACCGGGGUUGCGGACCUGCACGACAGGCUGACGGAAAGCUAGCCGAAGCGGCUGGAAAGCCGGACCAGAGAAGGUGACAGUCCUGUAGGCGAAAGCGGGAAGUUGGCUGUGCAGGCUCCAGAGUAGCACGGGACACGAGGAAUCCUGUGUGAAGCAGGGAGGACCACCUCCCAAGGCUAAAUACUCCCUGGUGACCGAUAGUGGAGAAGUACCGUGAGGGAAAGGUGAAAAGCACCCCUGGCGGGGAGUGAAAGAGAACCUGAAACCCUAUGUUUACAACCGGUGGAAGCACGUUAAAGUGCGACCGCGUACUUUUUGCAGAACGGGCCGGCGAGUUGCGGUAUGAUGCGAGGUUAAGGACUUUUAAGGUCCGGAGCCGCAGGGAAACCGAGUCUGAAUAGGGCGUAUGAGUAUCAUGCUGCAGACCCGAAACCAGGUGACCUAUCCAUGGGCAGGAUGAAACGGAAGUAAAAUUCCGCGGAGGUCCGAACCCACCGUUGUUGAAAAAGCGGGGGAUGACCUGUGGAUAGCGGUGAAAUGCCAAUCGAACCUGGAGAUAGCUGGUUCUCCUCGAAAUAGCUUUAGGGCUAGCCUCAGGACAGAGUCAUGGAGGUAGAGCACUGAAUGGGCUAGGGGGCCGACAAGCUUACCGAACCCUAUCAAACUCCGAAUGCCAUAGACUUGGUUCCUGGGAGUCAGACUACGUGAGAUAAGUUUCGUGGUCGAGAGGGAAAGAGCCCAGACCAUCAGCUAAGGUCCCGAAGUACAGGUUAAGUGGAAAAGGAUGUGGGAUUGCGAAGACAACCAGGAUGUUGGCUUAGAAGCAGCCAUUCAUUUAAAGAGUGCGUAAUAGCUCACUGGUCGAGUGGUCCUGCGCCGAAAAUGUCCGGGGCUGAAACCUGUCACCGAAGCUAUGGAUUGCCGUGGUAUCACUGAUGCUCUUAGGAGCGGUAUUUAGGGAAGGACAUUAUGUCAAAACCGACCUGUUUAAUAGGGGACAGGAAAAGAAGGUUUUGACACAAAUGUGCCACACAAGCUGAAACCUAAGUACUGUUGAGGGUAUCAGUGAUACCGCGGCAGUGGUAGAGGAGCGUCGUAUACUGGCUGAAGCCAUACCGAAAGGAGUGGUGGACGGUAUACGAGAGAGAAUGCCGGUAUGAGUAGCGAGAGCGGAGUGAGAAUCUCCGCCGUCGAAAGCCUAAGGUUUCCUGAGGAAGGUUCGUCCGCUCAGGGUAAGUCGGGACCUAAGCCGAGGGCGAAAGCCGUAGGCGAUGGACAAUCGGUUGAGAUUCCGAUACCACCUUUCGUCCGUUUGAGAGAAGCAGUGACACAGUAGGAUAGAUGGGGCAGGUUGUUGGUAGAGCCUGUUCAAGCAGUUAGUCCGGCAAGUGAGUGAAGUACCGCUUGCCGCUAAGGAUGAGCUGUGAUGAGGACCGAAGAUAGAGUAGGGAAGCCAUCGAAUCCCCACUGGCGAGAAAAGCUGCUAUCGAGGAUGGAGGGUGCCCGUACCGCAAACCGACACAGGUAGGCGAGGAGAGAAUCCUAAGACGAACGGGAGAACCCUUGUUAAGGAACUCGGCAAAAUGACCCCGUAACUUCGGGAGAAGGGGUGCCUGGGAGGCCAGGCCGCAGAGAGUAGGCCCAAGCGACUGUUUAUCAAAAACACAGGUCUCUGCUAACUCGAGAGAGGAAGUAUAGGGGCUGACGCCUGCCCAGUGCUGGAAGGUUAAGGGGAAGAGUUAGCGCAAGCGAAGCUUAGAACCGAAGCCCCAGUGAACGGCGGCCGUAACUAUAACGGUCCUAAGGUAGCGAAAUUCCUUGUCGGGUAAGUUCCGACCCGCACGAAAGGCGUAACGACUUGGGCGCUGUCUCAACAAGGGACCCGGCGAAAUUGUAGUACCAGUGAAGAUACUGGUUACCCGCGAUAGGACGGAAAGACCCCGUAGAGCUUUACUGCAGCCUGAUAUUGGAUCUUGGUGCGGAAUGUACAGGAUAGGUGGGAGACAGAGAAGCAUGGACGCCAGUCUGUGUGGAGUCGUCCUUGGGAUACCACUCUUUUCGUGCCGGGGUUCUAACCCUGUGCCGUGAUCCGGGCGGGGGACAUUGUCAGGUGGGCAGUUUGACUGGGGCGGUCGCCUCCUAAAGAGUAACGGAGGCGCCCAAAGGUCUCCUCAGAAUGGUUGGAAAUCAUUCGGAGAGUGUAAAGGCAGAAGGGGGCCUGACUGCGAGAGAGACAUCUCGAGCAGGGACGAAAGUCGGGCUUAGUGAUCCGGCGGUAUUGAGUGGAAGAGCCGUCGCUCAACGGAUAAAAGCUACCUCGGGGAUAACAGGCUUAUCUCCCCCAAGAGUCCACAUCGACGGGGAGGUUUGGCACCUCGAUGUCGGCUCGUCACAUCCUGGGGCCGGAGUAGGUCCCAAGGGUUGGGCUGUUCGCCCAUUAAAGUGGCACGCGAGCUGGGUUCAGAACGUCGUGAGACAGUUCGGUCCCUAUCCAUCGCGGGCGCAGGAAAUUUGAGAGGAGCUGUCCCUAGUACGAGAGGACCGGGAUGGACGUACCACUGGUGUAUCAGUUGUCGCGCCAGCGGCACAGCUGAGUAGCCAAGUACGGACGGGAUAAACGCUGAAGGCAUCUAAGCGUGAAGCCCCCCUCAAGAUAAGAUUUCCCAUACCGUUAAGGUAGUAAGACCCCUUGCAGAAGACGAGGUUGAUAGGUCAGAGGUGGAAGUGCAGUAAUGCAUGAAGCUGACUGAUACUAAUCGGUCGAGGGCUUGAUCU
rnacentral:rRNA from 1 species